ensembl:snRNA U1 U1 spliceosomal RNA
GAAGGUGGUUUUCCCAGGGCGAGGCUUAUCCAUUGCACUCCGGAUGUGCUGACCCCUGCGAUUUCCCCAAAUGUGGGAAACUCGACUGCAUAAUUUGUGGUAGUGGGGGACUGCGUUCGCGCUUUCCCCUG